AAAGUGUAAUUCAUUUAUUUUUCUCUUUUUGCCGUCCCUCUUUCUAACGAUUUCUUUCUUCCUAUGUAUAUUUCUCUCUCUAAGAUUUUUCAGUUUUCACUCUCUAGAUCGAUAUCUCCUCAAUUCUACGGAUAGCUCCAGUGGGAUCGAUUCAUCCGAAAAAGAAGAGGUCGCGUGAUUGAAUUUUUUUUUCUGACGCAGGAUUGAAUUCGAUCGGGGAAUUGAAUAUUAGGGUUUCGAUUCUGGUGAGAAUGGCAUAAGGCUAGAUUUGGAGGUGGAUUUAGGGUUUGAAACUGGUGAAUUGAUAUAAGGAAGUGGAGCAGGAUUCGCUUUCUGAAUUAAGGAGAGGGGAUUGAUGUUACUCAGGGGGAAAAUGCAAGGCUAUGCAUGGGCGGGCAGGUGAGGAAAGGGAAAGGGGUCGGCACAUGUGGAAAGGGCCCACUCGUAGCAAUUCGGUUGUAGCUGGUGAUGUUUCCUCGUCUUCUUCUUCGUUUUUCCCUGCCAAUUCAUUUUGCAAGGAAGGACGCAGAAUCAGUGUUGGACAUUGUGCUCUUUUCAAACCAUCUAAAGAGUCCCCUCCUUUCAUUGGAAUAAUUCGUUGGGUGACUACCGGUAAAGACAACGAGUUAAAGUUAGGUGUGAAUUGGCUUUAUCGACCUGCUGAAUUAAAGCUAGGCAAAGGCAUCCUUUUGGAAGCUGCGCCAAACAAAAUAUUCUAUUCCUUUCAUAAGGAUGAUAUUCCUGCUGCAUCACCACUGCAUCCGUGCAAAGUCACAUUCCUUCCAAAAGGUGCUGAACUUCCAUCAGGAAUUUGCUCAUUUGUGUGCCGGCGAGUGUAUGACAUUACAAACAAGUGUUUAUGGUGGCUAACCAACAAAGAUUACAUUAAUGAACGACAAGAAGUAGAUCAGCUAUUGUGUAUAACUCGAAUAGAAAUGCAUGCAUCAGUGUCCCAAGGUGGGCGUUCACCAAAACCAAUGAAUGGUCCAACAUCGACUUCACAGUUGAAACCCAGCUCAGAUAGUGUACAAAAUAGUGCCUCAUCCUUUCCUUCACAAGUUAAUGGAAAGAAAAGGGAACGAGUUGAUCAGGGUUCUGAACCGGUUAAACGAGAACGUUUUUCAAAGCUGGAUGAUAGUGAUUCUGGUCACUGCAGACCAGAAAGCAUUUGGAAAACUGAGAUUGCAAAAUUUACUGAAAAGGGGGGGCUUGUUGACUCUGAAAGUGUUGAAAAAUUGGUGCAACUCAUGGUUCCUGAGAGAAAUGAGAAAAAGAUAGACUUGGUGGGUCGCUCAAUACUGGCUGGUGUUAUAGCGGCCACAGAUAAGUUUGAUUGCCUUAAUCGGUUUGUGCAGUUCAAGGGUUUGCCUGUAUUUGACGAGUGGCUGCAGGAGGUGCAUAAGGGGAAGAUUGGUGAUGGUAACAGCCACAAGGAUAGCGAUAAAUCUGUUGAGGAAUUUCUGUUCAUUUUACUCCGUGCGCUUGACAAACUCCCUGUAAAUCUUCAUGCUUUGCAAAUGUGUAACAUUGGCAAGUCAGUGAAUCAUUUGAGAACACAUAAGAGCUUGGAAAUUCAGAAGAAAGCAAGGAGUUUGGUUGACACGUGGAAGAAACGUGUUGAGGCUGAAAUGGAUGCAAAGUCUGUUUCUAACCAGGCUGUCUCAUGGGCUGGAAGACCGCGACCUCCAGAUGUUUCGCAUGGUGAGAACAGACAUUCUGGUGCAUCUUUUGAGGUGGCAAUUAAGAGUUCAGCUACGCAACAUUCAGCUUCAAAAAUUGCUCCAGUCAAGCUUGUACAAGGGGAAACCACAAUCAAGUCUGCUUCUGGCUCUCCAGGGCCCAUGAAAUCAGUGCCAUCUUCUGCGUCAGCAGGUAACAGCUUAAAAGGAGGACAGACCCGCAAUACCAUUGAACUUCCUAUUGUAACCGCAAGGGAGGAGAAAAGCAGCAGCUCUAGUCAGUCCCACAAUACUAGUCAAUCUUGUUCCAGCGAUCAUGCCAAAACUGGUGGGGUUUCUGGAAAGGAGGGCGCAAGGAGUUCUGCUACUAUUUCAAUGACUGCAAGUAAGGUCAUUGGUGCUUCUUCCCGACAUCUUAAAUCAAUCAAUGGCGUCCAGGGUCCAACAUUAUCUGGGAUCCAAAGGGAGACUGGGUCAAGUAGGAAUUCUUCCUUGCAUAGAAGCCAGGGUGCUGAAAAGUUAUCUCACUCCAGUUUGACAUGUGAGAAGGUGGUUGAUGUUUCCUUGACAGAUGGUAAUAAUCACAAAUUGAUUGUUGAAAUCCCCGACAGAGGUCGUAGUCCUGCACAAAGUGCCAGUGGAGGAUCUCUUGGAGACCCUUCAGUGAUGAAUAGUAGAGUGUCUUCUCCACUACUUUCAGAGAAGCAUGACCAGUCUGACUGUAACUUGAAGAAAAAGAAUGAUGCUUAUCAGGCUAAUCUCAUGUCUGAUGUAAAUAAUGAGUCAUGGCAAAGCAAUGAUUUCAAAGAGGUGCUUACUGGAUCUGAUGAGGGGGAUGGGUCCCCUGCCACUGUUCCUGAAGAAGAGAAAUGUAGGUCUGUUGAAGACAUUAGGAAAUUAGCAGAUGUUGCAAAAGCUGCUUCCUCAUCAUCUGGAAAUGAACAUAAAUCAGGGAAGCUGCUUGAGGCGUCUUUCAACUCGAUAAAUGCUUUGAUUGAAAGUUGUGAAAAGUACUCUGAAGUAAAUGCCUGGAUGUCAGCUAGGGAUGAUGUGGGAAUGAACCUGCUAGCUAGCGUGGCUGCUGGGGAAAUAUCAAAAUCAGAUAUGGCUUCCCCCAAUAGUUCUCCACAAAGAAACAUCACUGCUGUUGAGUACUCUUGCACAAGCAUUGAUUCAAGAUUAAAGUCAUCUUCAGAUGAUGAUCGGAGAUCGAUAGUUGAUGGUAAUGGCACUGAUGAUGAACCUGAGAAGCGGGUAACUCAUACUUCACUGACCAGGAGCCCAGAGCAUAAAAUUGUAUCAUUGUCGAAAGAAAAACCAGCGGAGGUGCAUGAUGGCCAUUCAAAUUCUUCCAAUAUGGAUGCGCAGAAAAUCACAGAAGCUUUCCUACAAAACAAUGUGAAAUCAGAGGAAACACUAGCCACUUCAGUGACCCUGUUCUCUGCAAGCAAGGUAGAUAAACCAUCUGCUAAUGCUGACAGAGCAACAUGGGAGGAAAAGACAGAUGAAAUAUCUGAUACAAAAGAUAAGUUUCAUAGUUUUACUCAAAGUGAGGAUAGGGUUGGUGUUUCAAGAUUAGAAGGUAGGAAUGAAACUGUUGAAGGAUCAUUGCCUUGCCCAUUGAUGGAGAGAGAUGGUGACAACAGGAAAAAUAUGAACAAAGACUUUAACCUUACUGUGAAAGCGGAGCAAAAACAUACUGCUGUCAUGCGCUCUCAGUUUGCAGAAGGAACUUUGGGGGAUGUGUUGCAUCCUACUGGUUCUGGUAAAGAUAAUUUUUCUGAAACUGCUAUUGGGGAGGUGAAGGCUGAAAAGACUGAUGAUAUGGAUGGCAGGAGUCUGCAUGCUGAAAGACGAAAUAAUACAAAAGAAAAUAAUUUUGGUUCAGCUGUUACAGAUUACAAGGUUGAGAAAGUGGAGAGUCUAGAAGAUAAUCAAGUUAAAGAACAACAUAGCAGUGGCCAAGCUCUGAGCAAGGUGUCGUCUGCAUUUGUGCAAGAACCAGAACAAGAAGCAGGGUGUAGAGGAUUGAGAUUGACUGCCACUGAUGCUGAUGAAGCUGAGGAAAGUACAUCUAAUUCUGCAGAUGCUGCUUCACUAUGUGGUGUAGUGGGGGCAGAUAUUGAAGCGAAAGUGGAAUUUGAUCUCAAUGAUGACUUCAAUAAUGAUGAUGGGGGAUAUGGGGAACCAAAUAACCUAAGACCACUUGAAUGUUCUAUUGGUAUUCAAUUGAUUAGCCCUUCACCUUUACCUGUUUCUUCUGGUUCCAGUGGCUUACCCGCUUCAAUUACAGUGGCUUCUGCUGCAAAAAAGCCCUUUGUUCCUGCGGAGGACUUACUGAAGAAUAGGGGGGAACUCAGUUGGAAGGGAUCAGCAGCCACAAGUGCCUUUCGGCCAGCUGAACCAAGAAAAGCUUUGGAGAUGCCAGUAGGUACGGUUAAUAUCUUUUUUCCUGAUGCAGCUGUGGCCAAGGCUAGUCGUCCACCAUUGGAUUUUGACUUGAACAUUCCAGAUGAAAGAAUCCUUGAGGAUUUGGCUUCUGGAGGUUCUGCUCGGGGCUCAGUUGCUCUAUUUGAUAUUUCAAAUAAUCAUUAUUCAUUACAUGAUGAAAUAAUGGGUUCUGCUGCUGUUCGGGGCUGUGGAGGACUUGAUCUUGAUUUGAAUAGAGUGGAGGAUCCUAGUGAUAUGGGUAAUCAUUUAACAAGUAAUACUCAUAGGAUGGAUGUGCCUGUUCAGGCAGUAAAAUCAUUAUCAUUUGCUGUGCUUAAUGGUGAGUCAAGUGUAUGCAGGGAUUUUGAUUUGAAUGAUGGGCCUCUUGCGGAUGAGGGGAUUGCUGAACCAUCUCCAUUUGGCCAGACCACCAGGACUAAUGCAUCUUCACAACCGUCUGUUUCUGGCCUUAUGCUAAACAAUUCUGAAAUGGGUAACUUCUCUUCAUGGUUUCCUCAAGGGAGUCCCUAUCCAGCUGUUGCCAUUCAAUCUAUGUUGCCCUAUAGAGGAGAGCAGUCAUUUUCAAUGGUCACCCCCGGUGGGCCUCAAAGGAUGCUGGCUCCCUCUACUUGCAGCACACCAUUUAGUCCUGAUGUCUACCGGGGGCCAGUGGCAUCAUCUGCUCCAGCAGUUCCCUUUCCAUCUCCACCAUUUCAGUAUCCAGUCUUUCCUUUUGGGACCAAUUUUCCUCUACCAUCAGCGACAUUUUCGGUCGGUUCAACAACGUAUGUGGACUCAUCAUCUGGUGGGAGACUAUGCUUUCCCAUGGUGCAUUCUCAAGUAUUAGCUCCUGCUGGUGCAGUCCCAUCUCAUUACCCUAGGCCUUUUGUUGUUAGCGUUCAGGAUAAUAGCAAUAUUAGUUGUUCUAAGAGUAGUAGGAAAUGGGGAAGGCAAGGUCUUGACCUGAAUUCCGGGCCUUUGGGCCCAGACUUGGAAGGGAGAGAUGAGCCAGCUGCUGUUGCAUCAAAGAAAUUGUCUGUUGCCAGUUCACAGGCCAUUACAGAGGAGCAGUCAAGGAUGUUUCAAGUGGCAGGCAGUGGCAUAUUGAAGAGGAAGGAGCCAGAGGGUAGGUGGGAAGGUUGUAAGCAAUCCUCAUGGCAGUAGAGAUGCCCAGUUGUACAAACCAGUAAUCCAUGAGGCCCAUAAGUUUUCAUGUUCUUGGAUUGAUGCUGGUUAACUUCCAGAGGUUGUCAUCUAACUCUUGCUCUUCAAGGAUGCGUGGUAAGUUAUUUGAUGCCGUUCUGUCUAUGACCCCCCGCCUUUGCAUCAUGAAGGAAUCUGUCUCGGGUCUGCAAGCUGGUAUUUCCUUGAAUAUGUCUUGGGUGGCAGCUGUUCACUUUCCCCUUUGUAGAUAUGUUAACUGUUGGAAAGGAGCAUGCGGUAUUUGUUGCCCAGACAUGUGGAAUUGGUGCCUAUACUGUUGUUCAGUGCAUCAACAUUUAUAUUGUUGGGCCCAAAGCCAUCCUCCCUUUUCCAACCUUUCCAAGAAUGAAGGAUGGGUUCAUUUGUGUGAUGGUGUUGAAGUCAGUGUUGGGCGAGUAAUAAGAACAGAUGCCAUGAGAUUGGUUUGGUGGUUCUUAUUUCUCUCCAUCAGAAUUGUUUUUGAGACCCCUAUGCAUUCCCUUGUUCCUCAAAUUCUCGACUAUUUGGAAGCUUGAUUCUUUUGCUGAAAGGGAAUUGAAGAAAAGAAUAAAAUUAUCAUGUAAACGUUCCAAUGUGUUUUAGUGAUUACCUUGGACUUCCUCAGCGUUCUUCGUUGCAUGCUAUAUUUUGUUGUGUGAGGAAAAAAAAAAAUCUGUUGCUCUUGUUUAUUAUAAAAGCAAAUUUUUUGGGGUUUACUGGGUUGCUCCAGUGAUCUUAAAUGCCAACCUUGUCUUGGUGGUUGUUGCACACUUAUGGUCGAUGGAUAUGGCAUUUUAGACGAAGUCUGCAAGGGUAUUUUGCUUCAAACACAUUUUUUGUGAUGUGCGGCGUGUUGGAUCACAAUAACAAACUGAUCCCUUUCUCUUAUAUGCUUUCUCUUAACACUCUUUUGGCAAUUCGAAUAGGUUAUUGUAUAAUUGCUAUCAUAUGUGAAAGUAGGAGUUUUGAGUGGCUCUGAGAUCAAAUAUGCUUAUGCAACUCGAGAAAUUGCUUAUUUUUGCUGGUAGCGGUAAGGAGAUAAAGUGGGCUAUCGGAGGACAGCCUGCUUGACUGUCCAGUUUGGAUAUAUGCACUCCCUUCCCAUCUCUUUCCAUGCUCACAGAGUUAGAGAUGCGAAGAAAGGGUUAAGAUUGCGACUGACCAGUAAGUAUCCAAAAUCAUCUUCUUCAGAAUCUCAAAAUCUCAUUGAGAUAAUGACGUAAAUAGCCCUCCAGUCCCUUCUCUAUAUGGCACGUUUCUAGUAUUCAAGGAGCUUGUUUCUAUUGCAAGUCC